GGGUUGUGAGGUUAAGCGACUAAGCGUACACGGUGGAUGCCCUGGCAGUCAGAGGCGAUGAAGGACGUGCUAAUCUGCGAUAAGCGUCGGUAAGGUGAUAUGAACCGUUAUAACCGGCGAUUUCCGAAUGGGGAAACCCAGUGUGUUUCGACACACUAUCAUUAACUGAAUCCAUAGGUUAAUGAGGCGAACCGGGGGAACUGAAACAUCUAAGUACCCCGAGGAAAAGAAAUCAACCGAGAUUCCCCCAGUAGCGGCGAGCGAACGGGGAGCAGCCCAGAGCCUGAAUCAGUGUGUGUGUUAGUGGAAGCGUCUGGAAAGGCGCGCGAUACAGGGUGACAGCCCCGUACACAAAAAUGCACAUGCUGUGAGCUCGAUGAGUAGGGCGGGACACGUGGUAUCCUGUCUGAAUAUGGGGGGACCAUCCUCCAAGGCUAAAUACUCCUGACUGACCGAUAGUGAACCAGUACCGUGAGGGAAAGGCGAAAAGAACCCCGGCGAGGGGAGUGAAAAAGAACCUGAAACCGUGUACGUACAAGCAGUGGGAGCCUCUUUAUGGGGUGACUGCGUACCUUUUGUAUAAUGGGUCAGCGACUUAUAUUCUGUAGCAAGGUUAACCGAAUAGGGGAGCCGAAGGGAAACCGAGUCUUAACUGGGCGUUAAGUUGCAGGGUAUAGACCCGAAACCCGGUGAUCUAGCCAUGGGCAGGUUGAAGGUUGGGUAACACUAACUGGAGGACCGAACCGACUAAUGUUGAAAAAUUAGCGGAUGACUUGUGGCUGGGGGUGAAAGGCCAAUCAAACCGGGAGAUAGCUGGUUCUCCCCGAAAGCUAUUUAGGUAGCGCCUCGUGAAUUCAUCUCCGGGGGUAGAGCACUGUUUCGGCAAGGGGGUCAUCCCGACUUACCAACCCGAUGCAAACUGCGAAUACCGGAGAAUGUUAUCACGGGAGACACACGGCGGGUGCUAACGUCCGUCGUGAAGAGGGAAACAACCCAGACCGCCAGCUAAGGUCCCAAAGUCAUGGUUAAGUGGGAAACGAUGUGGGAAGGCCCAGACAGCCAGGAUGUUGGCUUAGAAGCAGCCAUCAUUUAAAGAAAGCGUAAUAGCUCACUGGUCGAGUCGGCCUGCGCGGAAGAUGUAACGGGGCUAAACCAUGCACCGAAGCUGCGGCAGCGACGCUUAUGCGUUGUUGGGUAGGGGAGCGUUCUGUAAGCCUGUGAAGGUGUGCUGUGAGGCAUGCUGGAGGUAUCAGAAGUGCGAAUGCUGACAUAAGUAACGAUAAAGCGGGUGAAAAGCCCGCUCGCCGGAAGACCAAGGGUUCCUGUCCAACGUUAAUCGGGGCAGGGUGAGUCGACCCCUAAGGCGAGGCCGAAAGGCGUAGUCGAUGGGAAACAGGUUAAUAUUCCUGUACUUGGUGUUACUGCGAAGGGGGGACGGAGAAGGCUAUGUUGGCCGGGCGACGGUUGUCCCGGUUUAAGCGUGUAGGCUGGUUUUCCAGGCAAAUCCGGAAAAUCAAGGCUGAGGCGUGAUGACGAGGCACUACGGUGCUGAAGCAACAAAUGCCCUGCUUCCAGGAAAAGCCUCUAAGCAUCAGGUAACAUCAAAUCGUACCCCAAACCGACACAGGUGGUCAGGUAGAGAAUACCAAGGCGCUUGAGAGAACUCGGGUGAAGGAACUAGGCAAAAUGGUGCCGUAACUUCGGGAGAAGGCACGCUGAUAUGUAGGUGAAGUCCCUCGCGGAUGGAGCUGAAAUCAGUCGAAGAUACCAGCUGGCUGCAACUGUUUAUUAAAAACACAGCACUGUGCAAACACGAAAGUGGACGUAUACGGUGUGACGCCUGCCCGGUGCCGGAAGGUUAAUUGAUGGGGUUAGCGGUAACGCGAAGCUCUUGAUCGAAGCCCCGGUAAACGGCGGCCGUAACUAUAACGGUCCUAAGGUAGCGAAAUUCCUUGUCGGGUAAGUUCCGACCUGCACGAAUGGCGUAAUGAUGGCCAGGCUGUCUCCACCCGAGACUCAGUGAAAUUGAACUCGCUGUGAAGAUGCAGUGUACCCGCGGCAAGACGGAAAGACCCCGUGAACCUUUACUAUAGCUUGACACUGAACAUUGAGCCUUGAUGUGUAGGAUAGGUGGGAGGCUUUGAAGUGUGGACGCCAGUCUGCAUGGAGCCGACCUUGAAAUACCACCCUUUAAUGUUUGAUGUUCUAACGUUGACCCCUAAUCGGGGUUGCGGACAGUGUCUGGUGGGUAGUUUGACUGGGGCGGUCUCCUCCUAAAGAGUAACGGAGGAGCACGAAGGUUGGCUAAUCCUGGUCGGACAUCAGGAGGUUAGUGCAAUGGCAUAAGCCAGCUUGACUGCGAGCGUGACGGCGCGAGCAGGUGCGAAAGCAGGUCAUAGUGAUCCGGUGGUUCUGAAUGGAAGGGCCAUCGCUCAACGGAUAAAAGGUACUCCGGGGAUAACAGGCUGAUACCGCCCAAGAGUUCAUAUCGACGGCGGUGUUUGGCACCUCGAUGUCGGCUCAUCACAUCCUGGGGCUGAAGUAGGUCCCAAGGGUAUGGCUGUUCGCCAUUUAAAGUGGUACGCGAGCUGGGUUUAGAACGUCGUGAGACAGUUCGGUCCCUAUCUGCCGUGGGCGCUGGAGAACUGAGGGGGGCUGCUCCUAGUACGAGAGGACCGGAGUGGACGCAUCACUGGUGUUCGGGUUGUCAUGCCAAUGGCACUGCCCGGUAGCUAAAUGCGGAAGAGAUAAGUGCUGAAAGCAUCUAAGCACGAAACUUGCCCCGAGAUGAGUUCUCCCUGACUCCUUGAGAGUCCUGAAGGAACGUUGAAGACGACGACGUUGAUAGGCCGGGUGUGUAAGCGCAGCGAUGCGUUGAGCUAACCGGUACUAAUGAACCGUGAGGCUUAACCUUACAACGCCGAAG
rnacentral:rRNA from 1 species